UGCCAGCAGCCGCGGUAAUACGGAGGGGGUUAGCGUUGUUCGGAAUUACUGGGCGUAAAGCGUACGUAGGCGGAUUAGAAAGUUAGGGGUGAAAUCCCAGGGCUCAACCCUGGAACUGCCUCUAAAACUACUAGUCUAGAGUUCGAGAGAGGUGAGUGGAACUCCGAGUGUAGAGGUGAAAUUCGUAGAUAUUCGGAAGAACACCAGUGGCGAAGGCGGCUCACUGGCUCGAUACUGACGCUGAGGUACGAAAGUGUGGGGAGCAAACAGGAUUAGAUA
rnacentral:rRNA from 1 species